GUUUUUUUUCGUCCUUAAGAAAUCAACGAAAUUUCGUAGGUUAAUCAGGACAACGAAAAAAAUCCCCUCCUCCUGCCGGUGCGCCACCACUCCCGCCUCCUUCCGGCGCGCCGUCAUCCCCGCCACCUAACUGCGCGCCGCCGGACCCUCCUUCUUCCCUGGAGCGCCGCCACCCUGCUUCCCCCGCCGUCUUCCCGAGCGCGCCGCUGCCGCCGUCUUCCCCAGAGCACCACCGCCCCACCACCCCCGCCCACGGGACCAGUGGUCCCAUCGCCGGUCUCCCCCCACCCAGAUCUGCUGGAGGCGCACCGAAUCCUGCCUCAUUGCCGGUUCCGCGACUCGGCCGCCGCCCCAACCGCUGCAGCAGCCGAGCACCUCCACUAGGUGCCCCGAUGGUUCAGACCCUCACCUGGCCCCUCCCUCGAACCCAGCGAGCCUCCGCCCGGCCUACUUCCCGCGCGAGGUCGCCUCCGCCUCCUCCUGGCGCAUCGCCGCCCCCACCAUCUGGAUCGAUGUCCCACUUGAGUUAGACGUGAACGAUAUGUUGAAGAGCAAGGGGGCACAUGCUAUUUCAGACCCUGAUUCGUUUUCUCAGGCAAUGGCAAAGCUCCGUCAGCGUUAUGAUGAUCUGAAAGAGCGGUAUGCAGUUUCUGAUGUUACUGUUUCAGUACAGAACGUGGCUUCUCAGCUAGGCUACAGCAGCAUCGACUCUUUGAGCCUGGAGGACAUGGUCAUUGAGGUUUGCAAUAUAAGCAUACUAUAGACAGAACUGUGUCUACACAAUUGGACAAAGGGCAAAAAUUGCAGCUGAAUAUGGGACCUUUUUUUGUAAAUAACUUCUCGUGAAAUACUUGUCAUCAAAUGCAAGAGGGGUCAUCGAGGCUGCCCGCAACCCGAUGCCCUCCACGGACACCACCACCAUGAUGGCGGAAGGAAGAGUAAGAGGGGUCGUCGAGGCUGGGUGCCGCCGUGAGGAUGCUGGCGCCCGUGCACGUUGAUGGCAUUGUGGCGGAAGGUCUUCUUCCUGGGGAGCCGCGCCCAGCCUCAGUCUCCACCCGCGGCCACGCUAACAAGAUAGAUCUCAAUGCUUGCUUGCUAAUGUGCGUGUGUGGAUGUUGCUGGUUGCUGCUGCUGUGCACGUCUGCUUGGUGUGCCCCUGCUGUUUUGUGUUCUCACCACCACAUCCAUGACAAAUAAAAUUUCUUAGUUUUCUUAGAAUGGUUUGUGCCAUGAUCUUCAUGCCAGGCAGGGUUUACAUUACGCAUGUGGACAACGGGAUUUUGAUGUCCAGUUAAACUAUCACAUGGUUGUGCAUGUGCACUAUCUAUUAAACCGACAAUCAUUGUUUUCAGGUUCAGGUUCGAUAUGUCAGGGCUAAAGUACGCUCCUGAGUUAAAGAAAUACCUCGAGAGACACUGUAGGUACGGUGCUAUUGUUAGUGUGUUGUUGUCAGUACUACUCCAAUACUUUGGUGUGUGGUUGCAUAGUACUCCCUCCGUCCGGAAUUACUUGUCGGAGAAAUGCAUAAAAAUGAAUGUAUGUACAACUAAAAUACGUCUAGAUACACCCAUUCCUCCGACAAGUAUUUCCGGACGGAGGGAGUACUCCAAUACUUUGGGGUAGUAAAAAAUGUAUUCGUGGUGGGAAAGCAUCAGUCGUUCGUAUUUGCAGAAUAGCGAAAUCAAUAAAUAUUACCAUUAAGAAAGCAUGCAUGGUAUAGUGAAUACUUAGUAUAGCAGUCAUAUUUUCUUGUCAACAUGCACCUAUUUGGAGGCCUAUCCGAUAUUAUUGCAAUCUGGUAGAACUGACAUAUACUCCCUCCGUCCGGAACUACUUGUCAUCAAAAUGAAUAAAAGGAGAUGUAUCUAGAUGUAUUUUAGUUCUAGAUACAUCCCUUUUAGUCCAUUUUGAUGACAAGUAUUUUCAGACUGAGGGAGUACUUUACUGGAGCUAGCACCUCAUGCAUAGUUAUUGUAUCAACCAGAAAGAAACUUCCGAUCUACCAUUUUACAAAACCAAAUUGUAUAGUGAGUAAUUGAAGUGAAGUUGUUUUGGGCACCCAAAGAUAAUUCUGUUUGUAUAUUCCUGCCACUUGUAUGGUUACAAGAAGCUAAAUGUUGUUUUUCUUUUUUAUGUUCUAUAAAUUAUUUCCAUGGUUAUCUCCGAUACAGUUUUAAAAUGAUCUUUUUGGACCAAUUAUAUUAGCUCAAGUUGCCAUUUAGUUGAGUUCAAGUUCAGACUUGGCUGCCAUUUUAGUUCAGUUCAGUUAGGAGCAACGUUUAGCAUUCUAGCUGUAUGAUAUGAUGUCUACACAUUUCCCUCUUUUCUUUUUGUGUAAUGUAAUUCCAGACUCUUUAGGUUAACCACUGCCACUAAUUCUCUAAUGGAUAUGCCAUGUGCAUAGGAAGGGUGCGCCAGUUUUUCCUUAUCUUCAUCUGAAUUAAAUCCGUCCAGUGUGUAUGCAGGAACUAAAGACAUGUAUUAGAGAAUGAAGCAUCAAUCAUCUUCUUGCUUAUUGUUUGUCAAAUGCUAUAUUAAAGUACUGUAUCAAUUCCUUUGUUAUUUACACGAAGGGACGGAUUAAGACCUGUGGGAUCAUGGCUCUUUCAGCUUGAGCAGUAUUUGCGAUGUAUCCUUCACUUACCAUGCCACGGGGUUGUUGCGGAUAUUGGUGGAGGACUUGGUGGUCUAGCGCAAAAUGGAAUCCUAGAAAGAAGUGAAACUAAUCAGCUAUGGUCAGUCGGCAGAGGCGCAUGCAGGUUUGUGCUUGAGGGUGCACGCGAGCCGGUGGCUACAGGCAAAGGAGCAAAGGAGGCUUCUGUGGCGCCGGAGCAACAAUUUCAGUGAGCACAUGGACUUGAUGCAGGGAGGGUCGUCGAAGAUAAGGACGGCGGCCCGGCCUACACAUGAUGGAACACACAUUGCCGACGAUGCGGUACCAGGGCUAGAGAAGAGAUCCCAAGAAUGCCCGCCGCAGUACUGCAUUGCCACUAUCUUCAAAGACGCGUCGCUGGAUGUUGUUAGGGAUUUCUUCUGGGAUGAUGACUUCCUGGUCAAGAACACUUGGGACAAUAUCUGCAGCACGAGAUUGAACGACGGGUGCACAAAGACUGGAACAAUGGUUGUUUGCUGGGUCAGGAAGGUGAGGUAUCUGCGUGAUAUCCCUGGCAAUAUUUCUGGAAUGCAUUACAAACUAUAUAAGUUUUGCCGUCACUGCUUGCCUUGCCUGUGCAAUUUCCAUUCUUCUGCAACGACAGGGAGUAUGUUAUCGGUCGCAGGGUCUGGGCAUCGGGAAAGACGUACUACUGCGCUAAUAAGGUGUUUUAUGAAAUGUCCUCCGUCCGAAAAUACUUGUCAUCAAAAUGAAUAAAAGGAGAUCACAAUGUUGGACACGACCACCUAAGAAUUGAAUAUUUUUAGUUGGAAUACUAUUUUAAUGAUCAAUCACAAUGUUGGACGCGACCACCUACUUAUUCCCGAGACUUUAAGUCUUUGGUGGCUUAAGCACAAUAUGCCCGGCAUAUGUUCUACAUCUGCGGCAUGUAAUGACCCUACUGGCAUUUCAAGAGGUCUGUAAAUACAACACUCUUCCAAAGUAUUUCCAAGUUUGGACGGUUAUUGAGCCUGCAUUGAUGAAAUAGUUGACGAAGAAGGAACUGAAAUGAGGUUAUUGAAGCUGCAUUUAAGAAUCUUGGUUGAUGAGCUGAUAUCUGACCAAAAACUCAAGAACUAGAAGCAAGCCUGACAUCCUUUUUCUGUAAUCGGAUUUACUAUAUUUUUGCAGCAGGCUACAUGCUUCUCUGAAUGACCAUUUAAGGAGUGAACAUGAAUUGCUGAUGUGUAUGUUCCAUGCUCCAUGGGGAGGGAACAAGGAUUGAUUUUCGCCAGGAGUAGGGAGAGUAUGCUGUGAAAUUGACUACAGCGUACAUGCAUACUUACCAGACUUGCCUAACAGAAGCACAAACACAAAUGGACACUCUGCAGUUGUAUCAGACACACCACCACAAGACAUGUUGUGUGCGUCACAAUUCUUAGCAGCGACCGUUACGACCGUCCAACGCCAAGAUUGCUAGCGACAAGGAUUUGAGGAGGACAAGACGGUAGCUAUCGACAAGGAUUCAAGAAGGACCAGAUGCCACGGUAGUGGUUGUAAUAUUAGUCAAGACGAAUCUGAAAAAAUUGAGUUAAGUCGUGGAGAUGUGGAGAUAUGAUGGAUUUUGCAAAAAAAAAAAAAACAAGUAAACUUUUGCUACAGAGAACAUAUCGGUGUGCAUGUACUGAUUGCACUUGCUUCAUGGCGCAAUACGGUUAUCCUGCUACGAAAAAUGUAUUGUUUUUUAUUAGAGAAGGGGGGUUCCAAGGCAGAGAUAGUGAGUAGAAGAAAAAUUAUCUACCAUAAAAGACGACAAGGUCAUAUGAUAUGCACUAAUUGCAUUU